ACGGAGCUGCUGGGUGAAAUAUAACAAACUGUGUUACAUCGCGGAGGGAGGAUGAUUCCUAUCUGCCAAAAGAAGGAGAACCCCAUAAGCAACGUGAUGCUCUGGAUGGUGUUCAGGAAGAUGCCUUUUACAAAAGCUACUCUGGUCAUCAGUCUCUAGGGCAGUCAUGCUACUUGGUACCAGAAGAUGAUCCCAAAAGAAAGGCAAGUGAGUUAAGUCCGAGCCCCUCCUACCUCACAAUUUCUCUUGUAUUGCCAUCUGCGAUGUAAGAAUGGUUAGAAUCAGAUGUUGCAGCAUCCCGCCUCGCACCUCUGAGUCCUGGGUGUGUAUUUGAUGAGACUCAGGAAUACAGUGGGGCCUUGACUUACG